CCCUUAGAUGUUCUGGGCAGCACGCGCGCUACAAUGGUCUUCGCAAACGGAUGCAUUCUCGAAGGAGAAUGACAAUCUUGGAAUCUAUGCCUUGGUCGGGACAGUUGCUUGCAAUUUUUCGACUCGAACCAGGAAUUCCUUGUAAUCGUGAUUCAUCACAUCACGAUGAAUACGUCCCUGCCCUUUGUACACACCGCCCGUCGCUCCUACCGAUCGAAGAGUUAGGUGAAUUGUUUUGAUCGAUAAGAUUUGACUAUGGUCAACUCUCGUUGUGAAAUUCUGUGAAUCUGACUGUUUAGAGGAAGGAAAAGUCGUAACA
rnacentral:rRNA from 1 species